AACGAACGCUGGCGGCAGGCCUAACACAUGCAAGUCGAACGCCCCGCAAGGGGAGUGGCAGACGGGUGAGUAACGCGUGGGAACGUACCUUUCGCUUCGGAAUAGUCCCGGGAAACUGGGAUUAAGACCGGAUACGCCGUAUUGGGAAAGAUUUAUCGGCGAAAGAUCGGCCCGCGUUGGAUUAGCUAGUUGGUGGUGUAAUGGACCACCAAGGCGACGAUCCAUAGCUGGUCUGAGAGGAUGAUCAGCCACGCUGGGACUGAGACACGGCCCAGACUCCUACGGGAGGCAGCAGUGGGGAAUCUUGGACAAUGGGCGCAAGCCUGAUCCAGCCAUGCCGCGUGAGUGAAGAAGGCCUUAGGGUUGUAAAACUCUUUCGCCGGAGAAGAUAAUGACGGUAUCCGGAGAAGAAGCCCCGGCUAACUUCGUGCCAGCAGCCGCCGUAA
rnacentral:rRNA from 1 species